AACCCAUGGUGAGGCCACUUUCUCAAUAUGUCCUUAUACCUCUCCCAUGUAUCAUACAGAGUCUCUAAAUCCAUUUGCACGAAGGAAGAUAUAUCAUUCCUCAGCUU
rfam:Gossypium arboreum cultivar AKA8401 contig_30848_1, whole genome shotgun sequence.